GACGAACGCUGGCGGCGUGCUUAACACAUGCAAGUCGAACGGAAAGGCCCUGCUUUUGUGGGGUGCUCGAGUGGCGAACGGGUGAGUAACACGUGAGUAACCUGCCCUUGACUUUGGGAUAACUUCAGGAAACUGGGGCUAAUACCGGAUAGGAGCUCCUGCUGCAUGGUGGGGGUUGGAAAGUUUCGGCGGUUGGGGAUGGACUCGCGGCUUAUCAGCUUGUUGGUGGGGUAGUGGCUUACCAAGGCUUUGACGGGUAGCCGGCCUGGGAGGGUGACCGGCCACAUUGGGACUGCGGUACGGCCCAGACUCCUACGGGAGGCAGCAGUGGGGAAUAUUGCACAAUGGGCGGAAGCCUGAUGCAGCAACGUCGCGUGCGGGAUGACGGCCUUCGGGUUGUAAACCGCUUUCGCCUGUGACGAAGCGUGAGUGACGGUAAUGGGUAAAGAAGCACCGGCUAACUACGUG
rnacentral:rRNA from 1 species